rnacentral:rRNA from 1 species
AGUGAACGCUGGCGGUAGGCCUAACACAUGCAAGUCGAACGGCAGCACAGUAAGAGCUUGCUCUUACGGGUGGCGAGUGGCGGGCGGGUGAGGAAUACAUCGGAAUCUACUUUUUCGUGGGGGAUAACGUAGGGAAACUUCCGCUACUACCGCAUACGUCCAACGGGUGAAAGCAGGGGAUCUUCGCACUUUGCCUGAUUCAUUGAGCCGAUGCCGGAUUAGCUAGUUGGCGGGGUAAAGGCCCACCAAGGCGACGAUCCGUAGCUGGUCUGAGAGGAUGAUCAGCCACACUGGAACUGAGACACGGUCCAGACUCCUACGGGAGGCAGCAGUGGGGAAUAUUGGACAAUGGGCGCAAGCCUGAUCCAGCCAUACCGCGUGAGUGAAGAAGGCCUUCGGGUUGUAAAGCCCUUUUGUUGGGAAAGAAAAGCAGCAGGUUAAUACCCCGCUGUUCUGACGGUACCCAAAGAAUAAGCACCGGCUAACUUCGUG